rnacentral:lncRNA from 1 species
CGGCAAAAUUUCCUUAAAAUUAACAAUUCAGGGGCAGCAACCCAACAAGGGGUUGUCCGAUUCAUUUGAAAAUUUCAGGGUGGAUAUAUCUUGACCUGAUUAACAAUUUUACCCCCUGUCAGAUUUGCUCUAAAUGCUUUGGUUUCAGGGAUAUAAGGCAAAAUCUACAUUCCCCCUAUGUUAUAUUUUUAGCAAUGGCGGCCAUCUUGGUUAGUUGGCUUGGUCAGUGGACACAUUUUUUAAACUAAAUACCCUAAUGAUGAUUAUGGCGAAGUUUGGUUAAAUCUGGCCCAGUAGUUUCAGAGGAGAAAAAGUUAAAAGUUAACAGACGACAGACGACGCCGAACGACGGACGCCAAGUGAUGAGAAAAACUAACUUGAUCUUUC